GACGUAGGAGGCGAGCGUUAUCCGGAUUCACUGGGCGUAAAACGCAUGUAGGCGGCUGGACAAGUCGUGUGUUAAAGCCCCUGGCUCAACUGGGGGAGGUCAUGCGAGACUGUACGGCUGGAGGGCAACAGAGGCACGUGGAACUCCCGGUGUAGCGGUGGAAUGCGUAGAGAUCGGGAAGAACACCAGUGGCGAAGGCGACGUGCUGGGUUGCACCUGACGCUGAGAUGCGAAAGUGUGGGGAGCAAACGGG
rnacentral:rRNA from 1 species